CCAACUUCCUUAAUGCAGCCUAAUGGAGUGCACCUGUAGCUUACUGGAUUUCGUUUGGAAUAGACGCUGUAGUGAGUGACAUCGUUACAGGGAAUGAAUCUUCUGGAUGAAAACGAAAAAUGAAUUGCAGAUUAGGAGGGCGAUGUUAGGGCUUCACGCAAAGAGAUGAACCAAAAUGAAAUCCAGUCAAGUCCAGGAUGAAGGAUAUCUUACGCCACUGGAUCGGAUACAAACUUGGCCGCUGAGUAAAAAGUAGUGAAGAGGAGUUUCUGGUUGGAAGAUUCUGGAAUGGGGGUGGUGGCCUUACUGACCAGCUGAUAAUGUGCUCACUUGGGUAACCCUGGACUCUCCCCGACUCCUCUCGCCCCCCAUUUGACCCAAUAAGCCACCCAGCAAUUCCAUGCAUGGAGUCCACACAGUUCAGCAAAGGUGUGUUCCGGGGACAAGGCUUGGUCAACUCCUUGUAGCCCCCACUAUUCUGCACCCCUCCCAACCCAUUACCUUUCCUAUCUUGUUUUUCUGGAGAGCUUUUGCAUUUACCCAAGGAAUGGAUUUACCAUCGGACCCAAGCAAGCAUGGGAAGAAGCCAACAAGUCACAAGCUGGAGGACCAGAAGAAGGAUGCAAGGAAUGAAGAAGACAUAUAUUUCUUCAGUUGUACUUUAUCUGAGAAAUAUUGUACAUGCAAAUGCAUUCUGAAG